ACCAACGUGUACCAAUACCCAUUGCCCUAUCAGAUCGGCUGGCUUACCUUCACAAAUCAGAGCAAUAUUGACAUCACGUUUGAUGCCACACACUUCCACCUGCGCAAGCUGGUGAAUAUCAUCUCCGACGGCCAGCACCUGACCGGGGACGCCAAUACACAUAAUUAACCACCUGAAAUAAAAUGCGGAUUAUUCGACCUCAAUACUCUUUACUUUCAACGAAUCGCCGGUAUCCACCCGCAGGCGAUCGCCAUGACAAUGCGGACAUUGCGCGUCAUGCCUGAGAAUUUCCACCACCUGACUGCAAUCCCAGCACCAGGCCUGGGCCGGUCUGUAGUCGAUGUGCAAUUCGCACCCUUGCGCUAAAGUCCCCUGGCAGGCGAUAUCAAAACUGAAACGAACCGCGCGCUCUUCAACGCACGAAAGCGCGCCUAUCUCCAGCCA
rnacentral:misc_RNA from 1 species